ACGGGUGAGUAACACGUGGGCAACCUACCCAUGAGAUCGGGAUAACUCCGGGAAACCGGAGCUAAUACCGAAUAACCCAGUGAACUGCAUGGUUCACUGGUAAAAGGCGGUUUCGGCCGUCACUCAUGGAUGGGCCCGCGGCGCAUUAGCUAGUUGGUAAGGUAACGGCUUACCAAGGCAACGAUGCGUAGCCGACCUGAGAGGGUGAUCGGCCACACUGGGACUGAGACACGGCCCAGACUCCUACGGGAGGCAGCAGUAGGGAAUCUUCCGCAAUGGACGAAAGUCUGACGGAGCAACGCCGCGUGAACGAUGAAGGUCUUCGGAUCGUAAAGUUCUGUUGUUAGGGAAGAACAAGUACCAGAGGAAAUGCUGGUACCUUGACGGUACCUAACCAGAAAGCCACGGCUAACUACGUGCCAGCAGCCGCGGUAAUACGUAGGUGGCAAGCGUUGUCCGGAAUUAUUGGGCGUAAAGCGCGCGCAGGCGGUUUCUUAAGUCUGAUGUGAAAGCCCACAGCUCAACUGUGGAGGGCCAUUGGAAACUGGGGAACUUGAGUACAGAAGAGGAGAGUGGAAUUCCACGUGUAGCGGUGAAAUGCGUAGAUAUGUGGAGGAACACCAGUGGCGAAGGCGACUCUCUGGUCUGUAACUGACGCUGAGGCGCGAAAGCGUGGGUAGCAAACAGGAUUAGAUACCCUGGUAGUCCACGCCGUAAACGUUGAGU
rnacentral:rRNA from 1 species